GGCGAGUGGCGAACGGGUGAGUAACAUAUCGGAACGUACCGAGCAGUGGGGGAUAACUAAUCGAAAGAUUAGCUAAUACCGCAUAUCUUCUGAGGAAGAAAGCAGGGGACCUUUGGGCCUUGCGCUGUUUGAGCGGCCGAUAUCUGAUUAGCUGGUUGGUGGGGUAAAGGCCUACCAAGGCGACGAUCAGUAGCGGGUCUGAGAGGAUGAUCCGCCACACUGGGACUGAGACACGGCCCAGACUCCUACGGGAGGCAGCAGUGGGGAAUUUUGGACAAUGGGGGCAACCCUGAUCCAGCCAUGCCGCGUGUCUGAAGAAGGCCUUCGGGUUGUAAAGGACUUUUGUCCGGGAAGAAAAGCGCGAUGUUAAUACCAUUGCGUGCUGACGGUACCGGAAGAAUAAGCACCGGCUAACUACGUGCCAGCAGCCGCGGUAAUACGUAGGGUGCGAGCGUUAAUCGGAAUUACUGGGCGUAAAGCGGGCGCAGACGGUUACUUAAGCAGGAUGUGAAAUCCCCGGGCUCAACCUGGGAAUUGCGUUCUGAACUGGGUGGCUAGAGUGUGUCAGAGGGGGGUAGAAUUCCACGUGUAGCAGUGAAAUGCGUAGAGAUGUGGAGGAAUACCGAUGGCGAAGGCAGCCCCCUGGGAUAGCACUGACGUUCAUGC
rnacentral:rRNA from 1 species